CUCAAUGGCAGUUGUUUCUGGGGAGAACUGGGAAGGGAAACCCGCUUUGAGCCUACUGAAAGGGGAGGUGAGGUUCCAGAGAGUUCUGUUUUAGAACUCGCCCUUCGCUUCUCAAAUUCUGUAUCUCUUUCGGUGUAUGCCAAAGCUGUAGGGGAACAGCUCUCCCCGGAGUUCUCCAGGCCCCAGAUUCCCUUCAGUAAGGUAGGAUACUUCGCCUGUGAGUAUCACUUCUGAAUCUUGGCUUUCUACAUUACAUUUCUGUUUCCCAGUUCCAGGCCGUACACUUCUGCACACCCACACAUACACAUCCGUUGGCUACACGAAAGAGGAAGAUGGGGGGAGGGUGCAGACCUUGAGGUCAGAGUUAUAUAGAGUCUUCAAUAUAAGCCCAGGAUUGCUGUCAAGGGUAUGGCGACAGGGUGUAGCAGCAAAGCCUGGACGCCACCUGACUCCCUCUUCUUUGCAAGAAAAUAGAAGGAAGCAGGGAGUGGGUGGGUAGUGAAGACUCUGAAUUCUCCCUGGUCUGAACCCCCUCCUCCUGCUUCCUUUGGGCUCCCUGCUGCGCACAAGCCGAGAGGUCAUAGUUAUGGGCCGGCCUUGAGCCAGUGUGAGGCCUACAGCAGCAUGUAUCCAAUAGAAGUCAGCUGCGGGGCUUUCAGAUCAAGAAAUGCACCCGCUAGUGGAUAAACAGGCUGGACUCGAGUGCCUCCCUGACGACCUGUAUUACACUUCCCCACCAUCUUCCGCCUUCAGCCUGGUUCUGUAAGCAUCCAUCAGCAACAAGGAGAGACUCGUCUCCGGAAACCUCCUUUCUCAUUUCAGCUCACCUAGUCACCUACUCCAGAGCUUUUCUGGAGUACCGUGUACAACGGCAGUCCAGAUCUUCGAGGCAAACUCAACGGAAAGCGUGUACUUAUGUGACGUGUAGUUCCUGUUCUCUAGGAAGGAGUCCAGAGUCGAAGAACAAAAUUCAUCAUUUUUUUCACUGCUAAUGUUCUUUCCUAAAAUAAUCUGAUAGUUAAAAAUCACUCUAUUAAAUAUUUUUCUUUCCUUAUGCUUGAUUAGAUUGAAUUUCUGUAGAUGAAUUAAAAAGCUAGGUUAAAAAAUAUUAUGUAAGCGCUAAGACAAGCGAAGAAUUGGGAGCACCUGGGGACAGUUUCUGGAGCUGGGUGUUUGUCUCUCUGAGUAGUCAACGCUGAAUUCAAUUGGACUUUGUUUAAUGUUUUACAUUACAUCAAGAAAAAGAAACCCCAAAAAGCAUUUAAUGUGUUCUUUAAAUAUUCUGUUUCUUCUGUGUUGAGUAGAACUAGAAAAGUUUUAAAGAGGCUAUCCGGGAACUACACAGCAGUAACAUCCAGAAUGAUAAUAUUUAAUGACCUUAAAAAUAAGAAUCACAUCGUUUUACUCACUAGAAGAAAGUAAAUACAAAAUAGAAACAUUGUGGUUAUGUCCAA